rnacentral:rRNA from 1 species
UGCUUAACACAUGCAAGUCGAACGAGAUCCAUGUUGUAGCAAUACUUCGGAAGAUCUAGUGGCGAACGGGUGAGGAACACGUGAGGAACCUGCCCCGGACUUCGGGAUAACAGUUGGAAACGAUUGCUAAUACCGAAUACCUCUGCGAAGUGGCAUCACUUUGCAAAGAAAGAAUUUCGGUCCGGGAGGGUCUCGCGGCCUAUCAGCUAGUUGGUGGGGUAACGGCCUACCAAGGCAUCGACGGGUAGCUGGUCUGAGAGGAUGAUCAGCCUCACUGGGACUGAGACACGGCCCAGACUCCUACGGGAGGCAGCAGUGGGGAAUAUUGGACAAUGGACGCAAGCCUGAUCCAGCCAUGCCGCGUGGAUGAUGAAGGCCCUAGGGUUGUAAAGUCCUUUCGGCGGGGAAGAUAAUGACGGUACCCGCAGAAGAAGCCCCGGCUAACUUCGUGCCAGCAGCCGCAGUAACAC